AGUGGAAUUCCACGUGUAGCGGUGAAAUGCGUAGAGAUGUGGAGGAACACCAGUGGCGAAGGCGUAUUCUCUGGUCUGUAACUGACGCUGAGGCGCGAAAGCGUGGGGAGCGAACAGGAUUAGAUACCCUGGUAGUCCACGCCGUAAACGAUGAGUGCUAAGUGUUAGAGGGUUUCCGCCCUUUAGUGCUGCAGCAAACGCAUUAAGCACUCCGCCUGGGGAGUACGGUCGCAAGACUGAAACUCAAAGGAAUUGACGGGGGCCCGCACAAGCGGUGGAGCAUGUGGUUUAAUUCGAAGCAACGCGAAGAACCUUACCAGGUCUUGACAUCCUCUGACAACCCUAGAGAUAGGGCUUCCCCUUCGGGGGCAGAGUGACAGGUGGUGCAUGGUUGUCGUCAGCUCGUGUCGUGAGAUGUUGGGUUAAGUCCCGCAACGAGCGCAACCCUUGAUCUUAGUUGCCAGCAUUCAGUUGGGCACUCUAAGGUGACUGCCGGUGACAAACCGGAGGAAGGUGGGGAUGACGUCAAAUCAUCAUGCCCCUUAUGACCUGGGCUACACACGUGCUACAAUGGGCAGAACAAAGGGCAGCGAAGCCGCGAGGCUAAGCCAAUCCCACAAAUCUGUUCUCAGUUCGGAUCGCAGUCUGCAACUCGACUGCGUGAAGCUGGAAUCGCUAGUAAUCGCGGAUC
rnacentral:rRNA from 2 species